CAGAUGCAUUUUUCAAAAUGAAGUUUGCCUCUAUGAUAUAUGUGUUAAAUAUUUUUGAUAGAACGUUAACAGUCUCCGCUUUUGAAUUCUCUGCUAUGCUAUGCUAUUUCGGAUUUUGUUCAUACAUCGUAUUAUCAUUUUUGUUAAGCAGCGGACACAGAUUUAUAUGAAAAUGAUUAAAAUACCUCCGAUUUGUUUUAUAAUGAACUUCUUAUGUUUAAGUUUGUAUAUAAACUGUUUGUCGGAGAGUAUAUGUAUAUGGAUUAGAUAUAUAAGAUUAUUAUAGCAAAAAAUAAUAAAUUUAUUUAUUUGAAGAUUACAAUUUAAGCUAUUGUUGCAUGUCAAAUAUGUUAUGUAGUUUUUAUCACACUGUAUUAGUUUGACCCUAUUUGUUGUUUUUUUCAAAAUACUCAAAGUAUGUUUAGACACCAAAUUCAGUCUUCAUGACUACAAAUAAGGUUAACUAUUAUUAUUUUUUAAAACGUUAUUCAAUUUACCCUCACACAUUGUAAGUUUAAAACAUGUACAUAUGUAUGUUAUUGGUAUUUUCGAUAUCUUUAUAUCCAGUAUUGGUAAACAAUAUUUCUUUUUGUGUAUCUAUGGUAACAAUCUGCAUUCAAUGGUUAAAGAAUAUUGCAAAAAGGAGGAAAAAAAAGGUCACAUAUUUCCCAAACAACUGGCC
rnacentral:lncRNA from 1 species